UUAGGAGGCAGCAGUGAGGAAUAUUGGUCAAUGGGCGGAGGCCUGAACCAGCCAAGUAGCGUGCAGGAUGACGGCCCUAUGGGUUGUAAACUGCUUUUAUACAGGAAUAAAGUUAGCCACGUGUGGUUAUUUGUAGGUACUGUAUGAAUAAGGACCGGCUAAUUCCGUGCCAGCAGCCGCGGUAAU
rnacentral:rRNA from 1 species